AUGCUACUGAGAUGGAUCCACCAGUGGAAGAGUUCCUGCAGCACCGAUGGACACACUCAGGGUGCCCACCACCACGAAAAGCCGUGUGACAGAGUCUUGAGCCUCAUUCUAAUAUCAUGCAUGCUGCAUUCAACCAACAUAAAUGCAAACAGAAAGACUGAAUUUAUGCCAGCAAGUCACAAUAAGCCGUGCAUUGGCAAAAUAUUUAAUCGUGCUGAAAUUGGAGGCCGCAUCCUCACACGUGGCUUUACUUUGGCAUUGCAAACUGCACAUCUUCUAAAGAUUAAUAUUAUUAUAUACGUCGCUGUAGCACUAUAUAUGAUUGCUUGCAGCAACACAUUAACGGAGCAUUAA
rnacentral:lncRNA from 1 species